rnacentral:rRNA from 1 species
CCCUUAGAUGUCCGGGGCUGCACGCGCGCUACACUGACUGGCUCAGCGUGUGCCUACCCUACGCCGGCAGGCGCGGGUAACCCGUUGAACCCCAUUCGUGAUGGGGAUCGGGGAUUGCAAUUAUUCCCCAUGAACGAGGAAUUCCCAGUAAGUGCGGGUCAUAAGCUUGCGUUGAUUAAGUCCCUGCCCUUUGUACACACCGCCCGUCGCUACUACCGAUUGGAUGGUUUAGUGAGGCCCUCGGAUCAGCCCCGCCGGGGUCGGCCCACGGCCCUGGCGGAGCGCUGAGAAGACGGUCGAACUUGACUAUCUAGAGGAAGUAAAAGUCGUAACA